rnacentral:rRNA from 1 species
UACGAAGGUGGCAAGCGUUACUCGGAAUUACUAGGCGUAAAGCGCAGGUAGGUGGUUUGGUAAGUCCGCAAUGAAAUCUCCCGGCUUAACUGGGAGGGGUUUGUGGAUACUGUCAGGCUCGAGUGUGGGAGAGGUAACUGGAAUUCCUGGUGUAGCGGUGAAAUGCGUAGAUAUCAGGAGGAACACCAAUGGCGAAAGCAGGUUACUGGCCCAAUACUGACGCUGAGCUGCGAAAGCUAGGGGAGCAAAC